UAACAGUUGUUUGCAAUACAGAGCAAACCAUUCUUUUGCUGUGGCUUACUAAAGAAAUGAACAGCUGGAUAUUAGGAAUAACUCUGGACAUACCUGUUUCAAGCGAACAAAAGCAAACAAAUACAGAAUUCCGUAACCCAAUAUAUUCUCAAAUUGCUAAGAACAGUAGAAAAAAGGAAAGAAUGAUAAAAUGGUAUUUUGGAUAUUUGAGAAUUUACUUGGAUCCAAGGAAAUUGGUGAACAUGUGUCCUGAGUCAGAGUGAAGCAGGCAGAAACAUCUGUAAAAAAAAAAAAAGUAAAACCUAGGUAUGAUAUAUGCUUAAUUUAUUAGGCACAUCAUUUAAUCUUCCAAUUCUCCCUUCAAACAAUUUAUCUAGUGAGUUGUAACAAUUACCUCACAAAGAAGUCAAGAUAAUUAAAUUAUAACUAUGUACAAAAGGCCAGGGAUAGUGCUUGGUAAUAUAAGUUUUCAAUACAUAUUAGGCUUUUCUAUUAAUCAACUUUGUGGAUCUUUUGACGGAGUUCUUGAAAGAAUAGUUCCUUGAGAAAUGCUUUGCUUUUUACAACUGUUUUUUUUUUUUUAUUUUUUUAUGUGAAGGGCCAGUAGGGGGAAGCAGAGCACCAGUCCCAAAUCCAAAUUUCUGGUAGUCUCCUGGUUUUGCAGUACAGGUGAGACAAACCCUUGACUUUCCCAGAGAUCUAGACUGGUUGGGAAAGGACAGAAGAGCUAUAUCUGUACUAAAUGUGCUUACACAAACUUACAAUCUAAUGUAUGCCAAAGCAGACGUCCAAACCAAAGACUGAAAGCCAACUCAAAAAGUAGGAAUGAGAUUGAAGUUGUGAUCAGCUUCUCAGUUCUUGGAAAGACAAUUCUUUUGGUAUUGGAAAAGCUUAUACCUGUUUCUAAAUAGGGCUCUACUUUGUUCUAUUGAGGACAUGGCUAUUACAUUGUUCAGUAUGUCAGAGUUCCUCAAACCAGCCCUACCUUGUACAGGUCUUUUGGUUUGAUGUGGUCAUUGCACUUAGUAAAGCAUUGUCGGUAAAAUAAGGUGAGAAGUGCGGAAACCCUGAGGAGAAGUAUAGACUCCCAGGUCAAUUUUUUUUAGAUUUAAAAAGUACCAGAUUUAAUACAGACUAGAUGGUUAAUAUAUGCCACUUAUACACUACAAAGAGAUAACUACUAUAAAUGUAAUUACCGUCCAUCAACAUAAAAUUGAGACCCUUCCCCCAUUUUACCCACACCUCAACCCUUUCCCCUCUGGUAACUACCAAUUUGUUCCUUUAUGAGUUUUGUUUUGUUUAGAUACCACAAAUAAGUGAAAUAGUGUUUGUCAUUCUGUCUGACUUAUUUCAUACUGUAAUUCCCUCAAAAUCCAUCUAUCUUGUCACAAAUUGCAAGCUCUUUCUCUUUUUUAUGGUUGAGUAGUAUUCCAUUGUGCAUUAUGUGUGUGUGCAUGUGUGCGUGUAUCACAUUUCUUUAUCCAUUCAUCCAUAAGUAGACACUUCAGUUGUUUCCACAUCUUGACUAUUGUAAAUAAUGCUGCAAUGUAUAUAGGCAUGCAUGUAUCUCUUCAAACUACUAUUUUUGUAUUCUUUGGAUAAAUAAUCAAAAGUGAAAUAGCUGGAUCACGUGGUAGUUUUAUUUUUAAUUUUUUGAGGAAACUCCAUAUUGUUUUCCAUAGUCUGCACCAUUUACAUUCCCACUAACAUUGUAUUAAGGGCUCCCUUUCCUUUCUUUAUAUCCUCUCCAACACUUACUAUUUCUUAUUCUUUUGAUAUAAGCCAUUCUAACAGAUGUGAAGUGACAUCUCGUGGUGGCUUAGAGUUUCAUUUCCUUGAUGAUUAGUGAUGUUGAACAUCUUUUCAUGUGCCUUUUGGCCAUCUGUUUGUCUUCUUUGGAAAAAUGUCUAUUCAGAUCUGCCAGUGUUUUAAUUGGAAUGAUUUUUUUUUUUACUUGUAGGAGUUUUUUUUAUAUAUUUAUUUGAUCUCUUCUCAGAUAUACAGUUUGCAAAUAUUUUCUCCCAUUUGGUAGGUUGUCUUUUUCUUUUAGUUGGUUUCCUUUGCUAUGCAGAUGCUUUUUACUGUGAUGUAGCCUUCCCCGCCUUUUUUAAUAUUUGCUUUUGUUUCUCUUGCUUGGGGAGACAGAUCCAAAAAACAUCACUGAGACUGGAGUCAAGGAGCUUACUACCUAUUUUCUUGUAGGAAUUUUAUGGUUUCAGGUUUUACAUUCAAGUCUUUAAUCCAUUUUGAAUUGUUUUUUGUGUAUGAUAGAAGAUAGUGGUUUAAUUUCAUUCCUUUGUAUGUGAUUGCCCAGUUCUCCCAGCAUAAUUUAUUGAAGAGACUCUCUUUUCCCCAUUAGCUAUUGUUGCCUCAUUUGUUGUAGAUUAAUUGACCACUUAACUAUUUAAGUAUUUAUUAUUUCUGGGUUCUGUUUUAUUGAUCUGUGUGUCUCCUUUUUGCCAAUACCAUAGUGUUUUAGUUGCUAUAGCUUUAGUACAUUUUAUAAGCAGAGAGUGCCAUACGUCCAACUUUGUUCUUUCUCAAGACUGUUUUGGCUAUGCAGGUUCCUUUAGGGUUUCAUACAAACAAAAUCAUUUGUUCUAGCUCUGUGAAAAAUGCCUUUGGGUUUUGAUAGGGAUUGCAUUGAAUCUGUAGAUUGCUUUGGAUAGUAUGGACAUUUUAACAACAUUAAUUCUUCCAGUCUAUGAGUAUUGAACUCUUCCUAAUCCAUAAGACACUAGAGAUUUUACUGCUUGGAUAGGAGAUUCUAAUGUAACAAUUUUAAUUUACUCUGCUUCUUCCAUCAGUUUCCUUUAUUGAUAUGAUGGAAGCCUUUAAAAAAAAAGAUUUUAUUUAUAUAUAUCAGAGACAGGGAGAGGGAACACAGGGAGGAGGAGAGGCAGAGGGAGAAUUAGGCUCCCUGUUGAGCAGAGAGCCUGAUAUGGGGCUCAAUCCCAGGACCCUGAGAUCAUGAGCUGAACCAAAGGCAGAUGUUUAAUUGACUGAGCCACUCAGGCAUCCUGAUGGAGGCCUCGGUAGUAAUAUAUGCAAUGGGUCUGAGUAGAAAAGGGCUAAGAUUGUCAACUUAAAAUAUGACAAAGAGGGGCAACCUGGGUGGCUCAGCGGUUUAGCACCGCCUCCAGCCCAGAGCCUGAUCCUGGAGACCUGAGAUCGAGUCCCACGUUGGACUCCCUGCAUGGAGCCUGCUUCUCCCUCUGCCUGUGUCUCUGCAUCUCUCUCUCUCUGUCUCUCAUGAAUAAAUACAUAAAAUCUUUAAAAAAUAUAUAUGAC
rnacentral:lncRNA from 1 species